UGAGAAUGUUUGCGGAAGUUGGUAGGGGAAGAGACUAAGAGUCUCGAUUUUGGUGCUAUUUAUGGGUGAUGAAGGUGGUGUUUGUCGUGCUCUAAAGUUAAACCAACUCUAAGAGGAAGGUGACUAGAGGGGCCUCAUGGGUUGCUCUAGUCUUGAUCUUAAGAUGAGUAGUAUGACAACAAAUGGGCAACAUAACUUUACUCAACAUCAAAUAUGAUUACGAGAGAGAAGACACCUUUAUAUAUAGGCAAAGGUGUCUCCUAAAAACCUUAAAAGCAUG
rnacentral:lncRNA from 1 species